rnacentral:rRNA from 1 species
CGCUGGCGGCGUGCCUAACACAUGCAAGUCGAACGGACGAGGGGAGCUUGCUCCCCAAGUUAGUGGCGGACGGGUGAGUAACACGUGAGCAACCUGCCCUUCGAGGGGGACAACAGCCGGAAACGGCUGCUAAUACCGCAUGACAUAUCCUUGAGGCAUCUCGGGGAUAUCAAAGAUUUAUCGCCGAAGGAUGGGCUCGCGUCUGAUUAGCUGGUUGGUGAGGUAACGGCCCACCAAGGCGACGAUCAGUAGCCGGACUGAGAGGUUGAACGGCCACAUUGGGACUGAGAUACGGCCCAGACUCCUACGGGAGGCAGCAGUGGGGAAUAUUGGGCAAUGGGGGGCCAACCCUGACCCAGCAACGCCGCGUGAAGGAAGAAGGCUUUCGGGUUGUAAACUUCUUUGACGAGGGACGAUAAUGACGGUACCUCGAAAACAAGCCACGGCUAACUACGUGCCAGCCGCUGC